rnacentral:rRNA from 1 species
AUGCACUGGCAGGUGUGGGAUAAGAUGUGUGUAGCAAAAUCAAAAGGAAGUCUCGGUUUUCGGGACUUUGAAACUUUCAAUGAUGCUAUGCUGGCCAAGCAAGCUUGGAGAAUUCUUGACAAUCCAAACAGCUUUUGUGCCCGUGUUCUAAAGGCAAGAUAUUUCCCAAAUGAGGGGUUCCUAACUGCGGGUUGUCCAAAGAGUGGAUCUAAAACAUGGAAGGCUAUAAUUGUAGGGAGAGAGAUGCUCAGCAAAGGACUAAUUUGUAGAGUGGGAGAUGGAUCCACAACCGAAGUGUGGCAUGACCAUUGGAUAGAGGGCUCGACGUCCAUGACCCCAAUGGGGGCGCUCAAGCCAAAUUCUAUUCAGCUUGUGGCUGAUUUGAUCGAUCCGGAGACAAACCAAUGGGACGUAGACAACAUCCGAAGUCUGUUUUUUUUUCCCGGAUGCGGAUGCGAUUUUGGCCAUGCCUAG